CAUAUUUACUGGGUUACACUGUGAUCCCUUGAUCAAAUUUUGCUUGAGUGAGAAUUGGUCAGUGCAAAACACAACUGUGGCAAGUUCCUUGUAGUGAGAUAGCCAUGUCAGCACUUCUCCUGGUUAACUUAAUGUUCCCUAGGGUGUUCAAUUCUUAUUUGCACACUUGAAGAGAGAUCUGUGAACCUGAUUGAAGCAUUUCAUACACAAGCAACUGCUUCCCAGCAAGCCAGAAAACUGAAAAUGAAGUGAUUUUGCUUAAAUUUAUUCAUGGCAAGGACACCCUGAACAACUGCCUGCUAAUACAUCAAAGUGCUGUUUGGCUGAAUGAUAUUUCUAAAGGCUUAAAGACAAGAUUUGAACUGAAUAACCCAUUUCAGGAAUUAUUUAAUAAGAAAGUGGAGUUACAGUGCAUACUUAUUCUUUUUAAAGGUGCUGAUCAUUACUGUGUCACUCUGAAACUGGUUGUCUUUUGAUGUCAUGUGUAUGUCUGUGAUUAAGAAGGCCAUUGAAGAAAUAACUGCUUCUGCUCAUUGUAAGGUCUCUUAAAUGCCAAUUAAAUGAUAUUAAAGUUUUACUGAUUUGGUAAAAGCAGCAUUAAUUGUUAUCUAGGGAAAAGUCUAGAAGCCUCUAAAUCAAAUAUUUGACUUUGUCAUCCCAUGGUUUGUAGCUGUGUUAUCAAUAUAUAAUGUGAUUUUGCCGUAACUAAUUUCAUCAAAGGACACAUGGAACAUUGCUAGCUUUCUACCUCUCUCACUCUCCUUUUCUGUACUACAGUAUAACUGUUGAAGCCUUUUAUAAACAGGAUGAUCCUAUAUAUAUGUAUUCUACUAAAUGAAACACUUUGAAGCUAUGAAUGCUGCUAACAAUUUCAAAUAGAAAACUGAUCCUCUCUUUAACUUAAAACAUUUAUUACUUGGAAAAUGAAUUCUAAAUCAGUAGAUCAGCUAUAAUUAUUAUUUAAAAAUAACAACAAUAGCUUUGUCUUAGCUCUGAAUGUCUAAGCAUAAUGUCAUCUGUGCACAGAGAGCUGUAAUCAGGAAUGUAUUUAUGUUAUUUUAAAAUUACAGAAUUCAGUUAAAUUGAAAUCAGCCUAAACUAGUGUUGCUAUUGUGUGCAUCUGUCAUAUCUUCCAUUGUCAGAUCAAUUUGCACUGAAGUCUAGAAAUGACCAAUUGUACGUGAUUUAUGCACAUGCAGUACAAAUGUAGGUAAUUUCUGCUUCAAACAAAGGCAGACAGUUUGUGCUCAGAAGCAAAAAUAUCUGAAAUAUAAACCACUAUUUAGAAAAAUGGUAUAAAAUUUAAGUAGUCUAGUAAGAUCUGUGGUGUUUAAAAAUGUCUGUGCUCCAAAAGAAGCUAUUUUAUGGUGGCUAUGUUGACUAUUUUGAAGCCCUUGACUAUUUCAGAGAUGUAAUCACUCUUUUUUUUUAGAUUUUUUGGUAAAUGCAGAUGUGGAAGGAGAAUGUUAAGUGUAGGAGACAAAUUUUGUAUUGUUGGGAUGUAGUUCCUUGGUUUUUGAUGAAGCGGAAAACACAAACAGUAGCUGGGAAUUCAUCUCAGAUAUUUUAACAGUCUUCAUUAAAACUCAUUUUAAAAUAUUAUUAUAUACAAUACAAAAGAAAUGUAUAUGUAUAUAUAUUUUUGGUACAUAGAUCUACUUACUAAGGUUUCUUCAAGACUGCAGUGAGUUGACCUUGGCUAGCUCCUGGAUUCACACCCAGCUGCUCUCACUCCAGAAGAGGAUAGGCAAUGGGGGUUACGGUCAAUCCAUAGAAGCUCCUCUCUGCUUCUAUUUCCUCUUCAUACUCCACCUGUGUGCCAGUGUAUGGGUACAGUCCUUCAGGAGCAGACUGUUCCUGCCAGAACUGCCUACUCUGAGUGAGCUCUCCAUUCCCAUACUGCAGUUUGGUAUGUACCUGGGGGAUUUGCUCUGCUGUAGUGCUCCAUGGACUGCAGGGGAACAGCCUGCUCCACCGUGGGCCUCUUCUGGGCUGCAGGAAACUUCUGCUCCACACCCAGAGCACUCCUUCUGUGCUGACCUUGGUGUUUGCAGGGCUGCUGCUCUCAUAUUCUUCUUGCUUUCUAUGCGGCAUUUUGUACAUUCCUCUACAGACCUUCCCCAAGGUGCUGCUAUCUUGGUUGUUGGGCUCAGCGAUACCCUGCGCUGGAGCCAUUGCAGCUGCCUAGAAGUGGCUGUGUCUGGCACUGGGCAGCCCCAGCCUCACCUCACAGUGGCUGCCACUGCAGCUGCCUUCUUGCUGGUAUAGGCUUCAUAAGCCAAGGAGCUUAUUUACAGUGAACCUUUUGGAUUUUGCCUUCCCUAAUAAAGCAAAACCUUAUACAUGACUUCCUGAAAUACAUUUAAACUGACAAUCAAGCAUCUCAUGUACAGUAAUUCUACUGAAAAGAAACAUAAGAAAAAAUGUAGAAAGAAAGAAAGAAAGAAAGAAAAGACAUCAGUAAGCAGGCAACCUGAAUUCAUAAACAUGAUGAAAAGCCACUUUACUGUAACUUGAUGUCAUUGGGACUAUAUAUACUUUGCACCUUGAGUAGUACAUAGCAGAUAUUUGGAACAGAGAUUUGAAGAUGGAUGGUCUUAAAUACCAUUUGAAACUGAGUUUUAGCCUUUAUAUGUCACAUGUAGAGGACUGCCUUCCUGUUCAUAAUGAGGAAAUGAGUAUGUUUCAGUUUAAAAAUUAAAAAUGGAAGUGUUUUGAUUGAUGUUGCUUUUAAUUUGGUUGGAGCUAUAAAUCAUCCUGUGACUUUUUGUGAAGGAUGUUGUAUAAAUGCUUUUUAUUCAUCAUUAGGUCACAAAGUGCACUGUGUCUUGGUCUCUUGACUACCAUUUUUUUGACACCAAAUAUGAUGUAAUGAAAUCGGAUUCAGAGUGUACUUGUGGUGAAUACAGAUGCCUUAUGUUUGAUUGUCCUCCUCUUACAAUCAGUGAUAUAUCCAGCUUGAUUCCUGUAUUGCUUUAACAUAUGUGAUAACAAAAUCAAGUUCAUGGUUAUAAUAGCAUGCAAUUUUAAUUUAAAUAAUUAAUUAUUAAAUCUGAAGCAGGGGAAAGAGGACAGGAAAGGGCAGGAAAUUAUGUGUGAAGGUUGACCUACACAGGCAUAUUCCUUUUUCACUACAAUGACGAACAGAAAUUUCAGUCUUAUUACAGUAAUAUUGUAUUUACAGUAAGAUUGUGUUAUAUUUUAAAAGAAACAAAGAAACAAAAAUGUAGUGGAAGUCACAGAAAAGAAUGUGAAAUGAAGGUAAAUUCAAUCUCAUCAGAAUUAAGAACUUGUUACUACUGUCAAGUACUUUGAUUAAUAAUCACAACUAUUCCUUGAUCUACUUUGUCAAACCUUUCUUUUAAACCAUAGCAAAAAUAGAUACUCUAUACCAUUAUUUUAAAAAGACACAUAUUAUAUAUAUAUAUAUAUUUCCUGUUGUAGUCUUAUUCUCAGUUCCCUGCUGUUACUCAGUUCCCUGUUCAUCUGUCCAAGAGUCAAAACUAAAAACUGUGCUGACCUGCAUGAUCUUCAACAAUGUGGUUAAGGGUUCCUAUGGGACUAUUUUUUGAAACUAUUAAACUCUUCUGAUUUGUAACUUCAGAGACAGUUAACCUUGUGCAGAAUCUGUAUCAUUGUCUAUAGUCAGGAAUUUAUGAAUAACCACACUGUGCAAAGUAGCAUGUCUAAUCCAGUCUCCUUUCUCAGUUAACAGUCAAGAAAAAAAAGGAAAUACAACAAAAUUAAUAAUCCAAUUUUCUGAGCAAUCACAAAUGACCUGACCUGACAGUGUAAGAAAUUCCUUCUAAUAUCAGGAAAUCUAGUCUGUAGCAUGCUUCAAAAGAUAGGAAAUCAUAGGUAGGGAAAAAAAAAGUCUUUGUAAUA